rnacentral:tRNA from 1 species
GGGAAUGUGGCUCAGUGUUAGAGUGCUUGCCUAGCAUGCAUGAAGUCCAGGGUUCGGUUCCUCAAUACCA